rnacentral:rRNA from 1 species
AACGAACGCUGGCGGCAUGCCUAACACAUGCAAGUCGAACGAGACCUUCGGGUCUCGUGGCGCACGGGUUCGUAACGCGCGGGAACCUGCCCUUAGGUUCGGAAUAACUCCUCGAAAGGGGUGCUAAUACCGGAUAAUGUCUCCGGACCCACGGUUGAUCGCCUUAGGAUGGGCCCGCGUUGUAUUAGCUAGUUGGUAGGCGUAAAGCCUACGAAGGCGACGAUCCAUAGAUGGUCUGUGAGGAAGAGCCGCCACACUGGGACGGGGACACGGUCCAGACUCCUGCGGGAGGCGGGAGAGGGGGAUAUUGGACAAUGGGGUAAAGCCUGAACCAGCAAGGCCGGGAGAGUGAUGUAGGUCGGAGGGUAGUAAAGCUCUUUUACCCGGGAUGAUAAUGACAGUACCGGAAGAAUAAGCACCGGCUAACUCCGUG